AUUGAACGCUGGCGGCAUGCCUUACACAUGCAAGUCGAACGGUAACGCGGGGCAACCUGGCGACGAGUGGCGAACGGGUGAGCAAUGCAUCGGAACGUGCCCAGUAGUGGGGGAUAGCCCGGCGAAAGCCGGAUUAAUACCGCAUACGACCUACGGGUGAAAACGGGGGACCGUAAGGCCUCGCGCUAUUGGAGCGGUCGAUGUCAGAUUAGGUUGUUGGUGGGGUAAAAGCCUACCAAGCCGACGAUCUGUAGCUGGUCUGAGAGGACGACCAGCCACACUGGGACUGAGACACGGCCCAGACUCCUACGGGAGGCAGCAGUGGGGAAUUUUGGACAAUGGGGGCAACCCUGAUCCAGCCAUGCCGCGUGCGGGAAGAAGGCCUUCGGGUUGUAAACCGCUUUUGUCAGGGAAGAAACGCUCUGGGCUAAUACCCCGGGGUAAUGACGGUACCUGAAGAAUAAGCACCGGCUAACUACGUGCCAGCCGCCGCCGUAAGAC
rnacentral:rRNA from 1 species